ACCGUACUCCUACGGGAGGCAGCAGUGGGGAAUUUUGGACAAUGGGGGCGACCCUGAUCCAGCAAUGCCGCGUGAGUGAAGAAGGCCUUCGGGUUGUAAAGCUCUUUUGUCAGGGAAGAAACGGUAGUAGCUAAUAUCUAUUACUAAUGACGGUACCUGAAGAAUAAGCACCGGCUAACUACGUGCCAGCAGCCGCGGUAAUACGUAGGGUGCAAGCGUUAAUCGGAAUUACUGGGCGUAAAGCGUGCGCAGGCGGUUGUGUAAGUCAGAUGUGAAAUCCCCGGGCUCAACCUGGGAAUUGCAUUUGAGACUGCACGGCGAGAGUGUGUCAGAGUGGGGUAGAAUUCCACGUGUAGCAGUGAAAUGCGUAGAUAUGUGGAGGAAUACCGAUGGCGAAGGCAGCCCCCUGAGAUAACACUGACGCUCAUGCACGAAAGCGUGGGUAGCAAACAGGAUUAGAAACCCGGGUAGUCCUUGAC
rnacentral:rRNA from 1 species